rnacentral:rRNA from 1 species
GAUGAACGCUGGCGGCGUGCCUAAUACAUGCAAGUCGAGCGAACGGACGAGAAGCUUGCUUCUCUGAUGUUAGCGGCGGACGGGUGAGUAACACGUGGAUAACCUACCUAUAAGACUGGGAUAACUUCGGGAAACCGGAGCUAAUACCGGAUAAUAUUUUGAACCGCAUGGUUCAAAAGUGAAAGACGGUCUUGCUGUCACUUAUAGAUGGAUCCGCGCUGCAUUAGCUAGUUGGUAAGGUAACGGCUUACCAAGGCAACGAUGCAUAGCCGACCUGAGAGGGUGAUCGGCCACACUGGAAAUGAGACACGGUCCAGACUCCUACGGGAGGCAGCAGUAGGGAAUCUUCCGCAAUGGGCGAAAGCCUGACGGAGCAACGCCGCGUGAGUGAUGAAGGUCUUCGGGUCGUAAAACUCUGUUAUUAGGGAAGAACAUAUGUGUAAGUAACUGUGCACAUCUUGACGGUACCUAAUCAGAAAGCCACGGCUAACUACGUG